GUUAGGAAUAUUGGACAAUGGGCGAAAGCCUGAUCCAGCCAUGCCGCGUGAACGAUGAAGGCCUUCGGGUUGUAAAGUUCUUUAGCCGAUGAUUAUAAUGACUGUAGUCGGAAAAUAAGCCCCGGCUAACUUCGUGCCAGCAGCCGCGGUAAUACGAAGGGGGCGAGCGUUAUUCGGAAUCACUGGGCGUAAAGCGUGCGUAGGCGGUUUUGUAAGUUAGGAGUGAAAGCCCAGGGCUCAACCUUGGAAUUGCUCUUAAAACUGCAAGGCUCGAAUCUCGGAGAGGAUAGCGGAAUUUCCAGUGUAGCAGUGAAAGGCAUAGAUAUUGGAAGGAACACCAGUGGCGUAAGCGGCUAUCUGGGCGAGUAUUGACGCUGAGGCACGAAAGCGUGGGGAUCAAACAGGAUUAGAAACCCCUGUAGUCC
rnacentral:rRNA from 1 species